rnacentral:rRNA from 1 species
GACGAACGUUGGCGGCGUGCUUAACACAUGCAAGUCGAACGGAAAGGCCCUGCUUUUGUGGGGUGCUCGAGUGGCGAACGGGUGAGUAACACGUGAGUAACCUGCCCUUGACUUUGGGAUAACUUCAGGAAACUGGGGCUAAUACCGGAUAGGAGCUCCUGCUGCAUGGUGGGGGUUGGAAAGUUUCGGCGGUUGGGGAUGGACUCGCGGCUUAUCAGCUUGUUGGUGGGGUAGUGGCUUACCAAGGCUUUGACGGGUAGCCGGCCUGAGAGGGUGACCGGCCACAUUGGGACUGAGAUACGGCCCAGACUCCUACGGGAGGCAGCAGUGGGGAAUAUUGCACAAUGGGCGGAAGCCUGAUGCAGAAACGCCGCGUGCGGGAUGACGGCCUUCGGGUUGUAAACCGCUUUCGCCUGUGACGAAGCGUGAGUGACGGUAAUGGGUAAAGAAGCACCGGCUAACUACGUG